rnacentral:rRNA from 1 species
GGUUUUUUGAAAAUAAUUUAAAAUCUAUUCUGCUCCAUGAUAUUAAUUAAAAUUGUAUAUUAAAUAGCUGCGGUAUUUUAACCGUACAAAGGUAGCAUAAUCAAUAGUUUUUUAAUUGAAAGCUGGAAUGAAAGAAUUAAUGAAAUAAAUAUUGUCUCAAAGUUAAUUAUAUUAAAAAUUUUUUUUUAGUUAAAAUACUAAAAUUUAUUUAAAAGACGAGAAGACCCUAUAGAUUUUUAUAAAUUAAUAUUAAAAUUAUAAUUUUAAUUAAAUAAGUUAUUAAAUUGGGGAAAUUUUUAAAUUAAAAAAAUUUUAAUUAUAUUAAACAUUAAUUAUUGAAUUUAUGAUCUUAAUUUAUUUUUUUUUAAAUUAAAAGAUUAAAAUACCUUAGGGAUAACAGCGUAAUUUUUUUGGAUAGAUCUUAUUAAUAAAAAAGUUUGC